rnacentral:rRNA from 1 species
GGGCGCAGCUGAUCAUCCAUGCCGCGUGUGUGAAGAAGCCUUAUGGUUGUAAAGGCACUAAACGAGAGACGCUACUUAGAUAAUACCUAGAAUAGUGGACGUACUCGCAGAACUAAAGCAGCCGGCUAACUCUGUGCCAGCAGCCGCGGUAAUACAGAGGGUGCAAGCGUUAAUCGGAUUUACUGGGCGUAAAGCGCGCGUAGGCGGCUAAUUAAGUCAAAUGUGAAAUCCCCGAGCUUAACUUGGGAAUUGCAUUCGAUACUGGUUAGCUAGAGUGUGGGAGAGGAUGGUAGAAUUCCAGGUGUAGCGGUGAAAUGCGUAGAGAUCUGGAGGAAUACCGAUGGCGAAGGCAGCCAUCUGGCCUAACACUGACGCUGAGGUGCGAAAGCAUGGGGAGCAAACAGGAUUAGAUACCCUGGUAGUCCAUGCCGUAAACGAUGUCUACUAGCCGUUGGGGCCUUUGAGGCUUUAGCUGGCGCAGCUAACGCGAUAAGUAGACCGCCUGGGGAGUACGGUCGCAAGACUAACACUCAAAUGACUUGACGGGGGCCCGCAACAGCGGUGGAGCAUGUGGUUUAACU